GAGUUUGAUCAUGGCUCAGAUUGAACGCUGGCGGCAGGCUUAACACAUGCAAGUCGAACGGUAGCAGGAAGAAAGCUUGCUUUUUUUGCUGACGAGUGGCGGACGGGUGAGUAAUGCUUGGGAAUCUGGCUUAUGGAGGGGGAUAACUGUGGGAAACUGCAGCUAAUACCGCGUAUAAUCGAGAGAUGAAAGGGUGGGACCGUAAGGCCACUUGCCAUAAGAUGAGCCCAAGUGGGAUUAGGUAGUUGGUGGGGUAAAGGCCUACCAAGCCUGCGAUCUCUAGCUGGUCUGAGAGGAUGGCCAGCCACACUGGGACUGAGACACGGCCCAGACUCCUACGGGAGGCAGCAGUGGGGAAUAUUGCGCAAUGGGGGGAACCCUGACGCAGCCAUGCCGCGUGAAUGAAGAAGGCCUUCGGGUUGUAAAGUUCUUUCGGUGAUGAGGAAGGGGUAUUAUUGAAUAGAUAAUAUCAUUGACGUAAUACAGAAGAGCACCGCA
rnacentral:rRNA from 1 species